rnacentral:rRNA from 1 species
UACGUAGGGUGCAAGCGUUGUCCGGAAUUAUUGGGCGUAAAGAGCUCGUAGGCGGUUUGUUGCGUCGGCUGUGAAAUCCCGAGGCUCAACCUCGGGUCUGCAGUCGAUACGAGCAAACUAGAGUGCUGCAGGGGAGACUGGAAUUCCUGGUGUAGCGGUGAAAUGCGCAGAUAUCAGGAGGAACACCGGUGGCGAAGGCGGGUCUCUGGGCAACAACUGACGUUGAGGAGCGAAAGCGUGGGGAGCGAACAGG